GGGGCGAGCAGCGCCACCAUCUUGGCCGAGCUGCGGGCCGAUACACUGGGCCAGCGCGGCGGCCUCUGAUUGGAGUAGUCGGAAGUCCCGCAGGAAAAUCCACCCAGUUUCUCCCAACAUGAGAGGCCAAUCUUCCGCGGAGAGCUCUGAGCAUUUGGACACAUUAACAAGCCCACACUGGAAAGGGCAGAGGAGAGAAAAGGAAAACAAAUGAGGCUCCAGUAAUGAAAAAAGGUAUGGGGAGAGCCACUGCUUAUGCUAAUAAACUUCUGAGGUGUCUUGUGUUGAACUUGAGGAUUUUGAGCAGAAAUGCAAGUGGCUGUGUCUAUAUCCAGAGGAGCUGUCUGGUCUCCUCCCAUAGCAGUGAUCAGUCCAUGAUUUUUAUAAAUAUCCCUGAAAGCAAG